GGAGAACCCUCUCCUGCUGAGCCUGCUUGGACUCGUCUUUAAGUGCGGCUUCAUAACGACCAGCACCCUGUCCGUGAUUUUUGCCCUGAUUCUCAUUUGGCUGAAAGCGCGUAGGAGGGCCCGAUCAAAGAUCCUGCCGACCUUCUUGCGGACGUCAUCGCUUUCCGACGAGUUUCGCUAUUCGCGGGUUCCAAGCUGUGCUUCCCUCGAGGCGCCUCCAGGAAGCUCGUCUUCCGAUAUUGACCUCGACGUCGCUCGCGUUGACGCCGUUGAAGCUCGGCGGGCAUCACGCACCACGACGACAACGAGGACGAAGAUCUCGUCGACUUCAACCAGAACGGCGCGCGUUCGUGUCGACGGUCCCAGCGAAGGCGACGAUGACGAGGAGGGCGCCUCCUGCGACGGCAGCGCUGUGGUGGGAAACGGCGCGGGUGGAGACGCCUCGCCAGACAAGCGCCUGCUGAUUUUGAAGCGUGUCGAGGAGCGCGGAGCCACGCAACCCGUCGAUGACGUCGACAUCCAACAGAAGAAGAAACGUGAGGCGAUACUGGAACGCUUAAGAAAGUCUGGACAAGCCAAGUGGGCUCUCGGCGGCGACACUUCUUGAAAUCUCCGCAAAGGCCGAGAACUUUCGCUCAAGACCAACGCCGAAGUGAUUCUUCUUUAUAAUGAUACAAAAGAAACUACGCC